AUUGAUUUCAAUACUAUUUAUUGAAAAAAAAAGAAAACAAGUUAAAGGUUUAAAAAUAUCUGUAAAAUGCUUUAAGACUCAUUUCACUAAAAUAUAAUUCUUCAAAAAUUUCGCAUUUUGUUAUGUGAAGUCUUAAUUUUAUACAGUUGAAGAAAAUUAUAGAAUAUGAGCGAUAAAUAGGCGAAUAGUAGAAACAAAGCUAUAUGCCUUGCAUUAUUGAAAAGGAAUUAAUUUAUAGUCAUAUGAAGAAGAGGCUACAUGAGUGAUUUUCACAUACUCUUACAUUUUGUUUAUUUAAAAUUGUAUUCUUCUCACUCUAAACUUUCGUUUUUACAUAUUCCUAUUUAGGAUUGUCACAAUUUCAAUGAAAGAUUACAAUGUUUGGAGUCAAAGGACUAUUUUUAAUAUGGAUUUUAUUAAAGCUGUCCUCGAAAAUUUUAUCUUUUCAAUGUCCCAAUUUGGAUAAACAGUGCUUUUGCAAAAUAAAAUACACAUUUGAAAACUUCUUAUUGUGCGAAUAUUUGGGAAAUAGAACUUAUUUUCCAAGCUUUAAACCCUCUAAAGUUUUUUUCAAAGAAUUGCAAUUUAAAUAUAAUUCAAACAUUGAAAUCUGUCAAAACUAUUCAUUUGAUGGUUUAUCUAUUCAAAGGAUAAAACUACAAGAAAUAGGACUGAAGAAAAUCGAAAGCGAUUGUUUCAGCAACCUCGAUUAUAAUCGAUUACAAGAAAUGUAUUUAGAUUCGAACUUGAUUUCCCAUAUAGCAGGAGAAAUUUUUUCUAAAAUGAAAAACUUAAAUUACUUAAAUUUAUCUGGAAAUAAAUUAGUAGAUUUGGGACAAAAUUCUUUUUUUGGCUUAAAUUCCCUAACUCACCUCAUCGCAUUUGGUAAUAAGAUUACAGAUAUUAGAGCAGUAACAUUUAAUGGAUUAAGAAACCUCCAUACGCUGGAACUUCAUAACAAUAAUAUUGAAUUGAUAGAGGAAGGAGCAUUUCAGGAACUUAUUGAAUUAAGAGAAUUGAGCCUUGUGAAGAACCAGAUAAAAACUUUACCAAAAGAUCUGUUCAAUAAAACAAAAAAAAUCCGAAGAAUAGAAUUCGCCAAAAAUUUAUUAAAUGAAAUUGAUGAAAAAUGUUUCAAAGAUUUAAAUGAUCUAAACGUAUUAGAUUUAUCAUACAAUAAUCUCAGAUUUUUGCCUACUAAACUAUUCACAUCUAAUCGAAAUCUCGCUCAUUUGGAUCUUUCUUCAAAUCGUUUUUGGAAUCUACAGAACAACGUCUUUAAUAAUUUAAUAAAUUUGGACACGUUAGUGCUAAAAAAUUGUAGUAUUUUCAACAUUAACAAGGACGCUUUUUCCAACCUUAACUCACUUACCUUAUUAAACUUAGAAGGAAAUGAGAUUGCUAUUUUACAACUUUCCACAAUGAAUUCAUUGACAUCUUUAGAAGAUUUAAAUUUACGACAUAACAAGCUUUCAGAAAUAAGUAGUGCAACAUUCUCCAAAUUAAAUAAUCUGAAGAAGUUGGAUUUAUCUUUUAAUACUUUAAAAAGUUUAACAGAUGCUUCAUUUUCGAGCUUGACUAACUUAGAAUUUCUGAGCUUAACCAGUAAUGGAAUAGAGGUUAUUUCACCUUACAGUUUCAAUGGUUUAAAUCAUUUGGAUUCAUUGCAAUUAGGAAAUAAUUCUUUAUCAGAAAUAGAUCAUCGCAGCUUUUCGCAACUUGUAAAUCUUACUUACCUCAAUCUUGAGAGAAAUAAAAUUAAUAAGCUACAUAACAGAUUAUUCCAGAAUAAUACCAAAUUGAACACUCUUACUUUGUCAAAUAAUCUCCUUCAACUAAUAACUUCAAGCAGCUUCUUGGCAUUAACUAAGGUGACUCAUUUGAGAUUAGAAAAUAAUCUACUUGAGAAAGUAUCAUCAAACUUGUUUAAGUCAAUGACGAAUCUCAAAAAAGUGUCCUUGCAUAAUAACAGAAUAAGUAAAAUAGAGGAAGAUGCAUUUAAUAAAGUGCAACAACUUAGUGAAUUAACCUUACAUCGAAAUAAACUGAAGAAAAUCUAUCCUUACACUUUUGAGGCACUGAAAAACAUUCAGGAAAUUGAUCUAAGUUACAAUGAACUGGAUAAUCUAGAAGGUAUUUAUGCUUAUGCCUUUUAUGGGAUCACCAAUUUAAAACACAUUAGCCUCACCAACAAUAACUUGACCCGUUUGUCUCGAAACGUUUUGAGCUCUUUAAAGUUUCUAGAUAGCAUUUUUUUGAAAAAUAACCCUUGGAACUGUAAUUGUGACAUAUUCUGGUUUUUCCUUGACAAAAGAAUAAGAGAUGUUCAUAGUUUAAAUUGCUCAGGUGGUCAAAUAAUGUCAUGCUAUAACUUUUCACUAUGCGAAGAUUUUGACUCAUCUCUUAAAAAAUCGGAUGCUUGUUCAAGUCUUGAGAAAACAAAUUAUACAAUUGUAGACAACUCUACAGCGAAAUAUGUACAAAACACUCCGAGUACAGAAACCUUUUAUAAGCUCAACGCUACGAAGGAAAUUCAGCCAGCAUUUACAAUUGAUUAUUCCUCUACAAAUCGACCUAUUGGGCAAAAUCAUUUAGAUCUUAAAGUUCAUAUUCUUAAAUCAGAUUCUGUAACAGUUUCUUGGGGAAUAGAUCAGACGAAAGAUGUUAGCAAAUUAUUGAUAAAAUAUAAACCUUUUACCGACAGUGCAAAAUAUAAAGUAAUAAAUUUAAAGCCAUCAGCAAAUAGUUUUAAGAUCUCAAAUCUGAAAGAAGAUAGUUAUUACAUCAUAUGUAUUGUCUCCAUAGCAAAUACAAAUGCAACCUCACAGGAUUGUAUCUCAAUAAAAACUGAUAAACAAUUUAAAACUGCUGCUAUAGUUGGUUUAUCAUCGGCAAUAUUUCUUCUCUCUCUUAUUUUAAUUAUAGGUAUUGGCUUAUUAUGUAGAAUGAGAUACAGAGAGAAAAAGUUAAUGGAGGCUCGACAAAUUAGACGCAAUAAGAUAAGGAAACAUUUUGCCAUUGAUUCAACAACAUUUCCUAAAUAUAAUCGUCACACUUCAAAAUCAGUUUCCGUAAGAAAUUUACAUAAUCUCGCAGCCGAAAAUGGAGAUGUUAGACAUGUGCAAAUUAGGAGGAAUCAUGAUAUUGAUGAUGAUAAUGGCUUCCAUCAGAUGGCUGAAAACUAUGAGCGACAUGUGUCGCCAUCUUUUUGAUUAAAAGUUGCCAUUUUGUUUUUUAGAAUAUAUAAUAUCUUGACAUUCUUAGAUAUUCCCAGCUUAAGAGUUCAAAAAGAAAUUAAUUUAAGUUGCUGUAACGCUUUUGCUUCUCGAAAAUGUAUAUAUAAAUAAUAGUUUAGGAUUGCUAGCUUUAAAGCCAAUAAAUAGCACUGAUAUAUUAUAAUUGACAUGCACAAAUUAUCCCAAGCGAAUAUGUCUCACACUGAAUUGGAAAUUACCUGGAUAACAAAAUUGACUAGUAUUACAUAUUCUUGCAAAUAGUUCCGUCUUUGAAGAGGUAACCAAGAAGAAUUACUACUUAAAGAAUACUUGUUUGCUAUUUGAUUUAAGAUACAUUCUAAUCUUCAAUUAUACGAAUUAAGAAAAACUGAGAGCAUUCUGUAGUGUUAAAUAAAUCAAUUUACGGUUUUCCUUUGUUAAACAUAUCGAAAUUUCUCUGAAUUUCCUAAGAUUUGAUUUCCAAAAUAUUCAGUCAAAGUGAUAAAAGGAAGCAAAACCGGGAGCGCUUGCUUGCUACUUGUUCGAACGUUUGCGUUCUCUGGGGAAAGGAGCAUUUAAUCGCAUUGCGUGACCAUGGUUCUUUAAAGCAUAAAGCAAAAAGCAGUAGGUAGCAAUUCCAAUGUGAUACAAGAAGGGAACAGCAACAGAUUAUAGAAAGAGUACUGGGUCUUAGUCUCGGUUCUCCUAAAGAUUUUUUUUUUGGAGAUUUGUAUUGGGCGUGGCUUAUUAAGAGUAAUUGUAUGAAAUCAGCCGGAAAAUACCUCCAGAAUUUUAAUCGCCAUUAAGCAGACCGAUAUUCCAUUAAGGUAGUUUGAUUAAUCGGUAGCAUCUGUUACCAAAAUUUAGCAUACGUAAGAAUGUUAUUGGGCUCUUGUCUCUCCAGUGCCAAUUUGUUCUUUUUACCAAUAACCUUUUCACCUUGUUAAAAAUAUUUCUCGAGUCAUG
rnacentral:misc_RNA from 1 species